rnacentral:lncRNA from 1 species
CACACUUGGGUAGCGCUCCAGUGCAGCCAGGUGAGGAAGCAGAAGCUUCUUGAUACCACUGUCGGUAG